GAGCAGCAAGAUGGCAUGGUAGCCAAAGUGCCAACCAUUCCAGUUUUGAAGUCCAAAAAGGUCUUCUUGGAAUCACAGGUCCGGGCCCGACAGAACCAAAGGAGCAACAAAGAGAAACCCGGAUUCCUCAUUUCAUUUCAUCAGUGAUGAAAGUAAAAUAAACAUAGAUGAGCAGCAAGUUGGCAUGGUAGCCAAAGUGCCAACCAUUCCAGUAUUGAAGUCCAAAAAGGUCUUCUUGGAAUCACAGGUCCGGGCCCGACAGAACCAAAGGAGCAACAAAGAGAAACCCGGAUUCCUCAUUUCAUUUCAUCAGUGAUGAAAGUAAAAUAAACAUAGAUGAGCAGCAAGUUGGCAUAGUAGCCAAAGUGCCAACCAUUCCAGUAUUGAAGUCCAAAAAGGUCUUCUUGGAAUCACAGGUCCGGGCCCGACAGAACCAAAGGAGCAACAAAGAGAAACCCGGAUUCCUCAUUUCAUUUCAUCAGUGAUGAAAGUAUUAUAAAAAUAGAUGAGCAGCAAGUUGGCAUAGUAGCCAAAGUGCCAACCAUUCCAGUAUUGAAGUCAAGAAGGGUCUUCUUGGAAUCACAGGUCCCGGCCCAACAGAAAGAAAGUAAUAAGAAAGAGAAACCUGGAUUCUUUAUUUCAUUUCAUCAGAGAUGAAAGAGCAUAAAGAAGACCUUCAUUCUGAGGAACUGAAGGAAUUUCAAAGGAAGCAGCAACAGCUAAUAGAGGGGUGUUUUCUGCAGGAUGUAAAGUAAUGCUGAUACCCCCUGAACAGUCAGUGCCCUGGACAAAGCCUUCACUUUGUUAUGGCUCUACAUAAGCGACAUUUAAAGCACACAGAAGAAAGAAUUUCUUGACAAUGAGGUUCAUCAAAAAUUGCAAUUGCCCACCUUCCAAGACUUCUCAAUAUCCAAGUAUAACUCCUCUGUGGUGCUGCAAGUAUGCCCUAAACAAGGAAAUAAUCUCUAAAUCAAGGAUGGAACCAAAGUGCUUAAUGAAGAGCAAAAGCCCAAAAUUCACAAAAUAACAAGAAAGUUUUUGGCUCUUCCCUUGCUUCCCCUUCCCUUGCCUUCCCUUCUUUUUCCUCACUUCUCUUCUCUUCCCUUCUUUUUCCUCCCUUCCCUUCCCUUUUUCCUUCCUUCCCUUCCCUUCUGUCCC